rfam:Mesocricetus auratus contig047664, whole genome shotgun sequence.
GUACUCACUUUAGCAGCACGUAUACAAACAUUGGAACAAUACAGAGAAAAUUAACAUGGUCCCUGUGUAAGAAGGAAUAAAAAGAGUAUGUAACAUGAAUAAACUGC